AUGUACAUGCCUACAACGUUAAUGAAAUGGAUCCCAUUAGAACUCUGUAGUUAAGCACGUUUGAGCUAGAGUAGUAGUUGGAUGGGUAACCUCUCCGAAAGUCCUAGUGUUUUACAUG
rfam:Picea glauca, whole genome shotgun sequence.